UACGUAGGGUGCGAGCGUUGUCCGGAAUUAUUGGGCGUAAAGGGCUCGUAGGCGGUUUGUCGCGUCGGGAGUGAAAACUCAGGGCUUAACCCUGAGCCUGCUUCCGAUACGGGCAGACUAGAGGUAUGCAGGGGAGACUGGAAUUCCGUGGUGAUAGCGGUGAAAUGCGCAGAUAUCAGGAGGAACACCGGUGGCGAAGGCGGGUCUCUGGGC
rnacentral:rRNA from 1 species